ACGAACGCUGGCGGCGUGCCUAACACAUGCAAGUCGAACGCGAAAGCAGCAUGCUGAGUAGAGUGGCGCACGGGUGAGUAACACGUAACUGACCUGUCUAAGACAGCGGAUAACCGACCGAAGGUUGGCUAAUACCGUAUAAGCUCACGUUUCUAGGGGAUGUGAGAAAAGGAUUGGGACCUGCAAGGGCCAAUCGGUUUUAGAGGGGGUUGCGGCCCAUCAGCUAGUUGGGCGAGGUAACGGCUCACCAAGGCAAAGACGGGUAGCUGGUCUGAGAGGAUGAUCAGCCACACUGGAACUGAGACACGGUCCAGACUCCUACGGGAGGCAGCAGUGGGGAAUCUUGCGCAAUGGGCGAAAGCCUGACGCAGCAACGCCGCGUGGGUGAUGAAGGUCUUCGGAUCGUAAAGCCCUGUCGGAGGGGAAGAUGUGGUUACUGUCUAAUCGAUAGUAGCUGUGACGGUACCCUUAAGGAAGCACCGGCCUAACUCUGUGCAGCAGCCGCGGUAAUACAGAGGGGCAAGCGUUGUUCGGAAUUAUUGGGCGUAAAGGGAGUGUAGGCGGUUCCUUAAGUCUCAUGUGAAAUCUGCGGCUUAGCCUGACAAAGUGCAUGGGAAAACUGGGAGCUGAGUGUCGGAGAGGAUAUGGGGAAUACCCGGUUGUAGAGGUGAAAUUCGUAGAGAUCGGGUGGAACACCAGUGGCGAAGGCGCCUAUCUGGCUGACAACUGACGCUGAGACUCGAAGCAUGGGGAGCAAAACAGGAUUAGAUACCCUGGUAGUCCAUGCUGUAAACGAUGAUGGCCUAGAUGUGUGAGGUAUUGACCCCUUACGUGUCGAAGCUAACGCGAUAAGCCAUCCGCCUGGGGAGUACGGCCGCAAGGUUAAAACUCAAGGAAUUGACGGGGGCCCGCACAAGCGGUGGAGCAUGUGGUUUAAUUCGACGCAACGCGAAGAACCUUACCUGGCUAGAAUGCCUCUGACAGCCGUAGAGAUACGGCCUCCUGGGUAAAACCAGGCAGAGUGCAAGGUGCUGCAUGGCUGUCGUCAGCUCGGUGCGUGAGAUGUUGGGUUAAGUCCCGCAACGAGCGCAACCCUUAUCAUAGUUGCCAGCGGUUCGGCCGGGCACUCUAUUGAGACUGCGUUGACAAACGGAGGAAGGUGGGGAUGACGUCAAGUCCUCAUGGCCUUUAUGUCCAGGGCUACACACGUGCUACAAUGGCGAGUACAAAGCGCUGCAAACCUGCAAGGGGGAGCCAAUCGCAAAAAGCUCGUCUCAGUUCGGAUUGGAGUCUGCAACUCGACUCCAUGAAGCUGGAAUCGCUAGUAAUCGCAGAUCAGCAUGCUGCGGUGAAUACGUUCCCGGGUCUUGUACACAACCGCCCGUCACAUCACGAAAGUGGGUUGUACUAGAAGCGCCAGCGCUAACCCGAGCAUCGGGGGGCAUGGGUGUAACGGUAUG
rnacentral:rRNA from 1 species